rnacentral:rRNA from 1 species
GUCCGAGUUGUAAUUUGCAGAGGGUGCUUUGGCGUCGAGCGCGGUCUAAGUUCCUUGGAACAGGACGUCACAGAGGGUGAGAAUCCCGUAUGUGGUCGCCGAUCUUCGCCAUGUAAAGCCCCUUCGAC